UUUGGUGAUGAUGGCAGAGAGGUCACACCCGUUCCCAUACCGAACACGGAAGUUAAGCUCUCUAGCGCCGAUGGUAGUUGGGAC
rnacentral:rRNA from 1 species